GACGAACGCUGGCGGCGUGCCUAAUACAUGCAAGUAGGACGCAGUUGCGAACGGGUGAGUAACGCGUAGGUAACUACCUAUUAGAGGGGGAUAACAAUUGGAAACGAUAGCUAAUACCGCAUACUAGUAGAUGGACCUGCGUUGUAUUAGCUAGUAGGUAGGGUAAUGGCCUACCUAGGCAACGGUACAUAGCCGAGCUGGAGGGGUGAUCGUGCACAACGGGAACGGAGCACGGCCACGAACCCUACGGGAGGCAGGAGUAGGGAAUCUUCGGAAAUGGGGGGAAUCCUGGAGGAGCAACGCCGGGUGAGUGAAAAAGGUUUGUGGGUCGUAAAGCUCUGUUUGGAAGGAAGCGGUACUUAACCAGAAAGGGACGGCUAACUACGUGCCAGCAGCCGCGGGAAUAC
rnacentral:rRNA from 1 species